rnacentral:pre_miRNA from 1 species
ACAACAAUAUUCGGACCGUCGGUCUACUGAGCAAAUAUCAUCCGCUCGGUGGAAGAUCUUCCCUUUGUCGUUUAAG